GCUGAUAUCAGGCACUUUAAUUUGCCCAAGACAUCUAGUCAUGCCACGCCCACAAGGGCCUUCAGCAGUGAUCAACAUUAAAAAUAAACGUCAGUUUGAUUUAGCCAAUAAAUACAGAGCCGGCCAAUCUGGUGCCAGCCGCCGCGGUUACACCACGUGGCUCAAAUUGAUUUUAUCCGGCGUAAAGCGUGAUUAAAGAGAACAACCCCAUGGGGUUAAACUUGAACUAAGCCGUAACACGCUUGUCUUAAAGAAAACCAUACCUUAAGGUACCCCAAUUCACCAACUUGAACUCACAAUAACUAGAAAACAAACUGGGAUUAGAUACCCCACUAUGCCUAGUUGUAAACCAUAACUUACACCAACAUCGCCUGGGAACUACGAGCAAAGCUUAAAACCCAAAGGACUUGACGGUGCCCCACAUCCCCCUAGAGGAGCCUGUCCUAUAAUCGAUACCCCCCGUUCAACCUCACCAUUUUUAGUUUUUCAGCCUGUAUACUUCCGUCGCCAGCUUACCGCAUGAGCGAAACAGUAAGCUUAAUGAUUACCCACCAAAACGUCAGGUCAAAGUGCAGCAAAUAAGGUGGAAAGAGAUGGGCUACACUCUCUACUUUAGAGAAUACAAAAAACUGCAUGAAACCACAGUUGGAAAGCGGAUUUAGUAGUAAGAAAAAAUAGAAUAUUUCUCUUAACUCGGCACUGGGGUGUGUACACACCGCCCGUCACCCUCUUCAACACAACACCUUAGUACAUAACAAUACUACCCCAAAUAGAAGAGGUA
rnacentral:rRNA from 1 species